UACGUAGGUGGCAACGUUGUCCGGAUUUACUGGGCGAAAGAGCGCGCAGGCGGUCGUUCAAGUCGCGUGUGAAAGCCCCCGGCUCAACUGGGGAGGGUCACGCGAUACUGAUCGACUCGAAGGCAGGAAGAGGGAAGUGGAAUUCCCGGUGUAGUGGUGAAAUGCGUAGAUAUCGGGAGGAACACCAGUGGCGAAGGCGACUUCCUGGCCUGUUCUUGACGCUGAGGCGCGAAAGCUAGGGGAGCAAACGGG
rnacentral:rRNA from 1 species